AGAGUUUGAUCCUGGCUCAGAACGAACGCUGGCGGCGUGCUUAACACAUGCAAGUCGAGUGCGCGCCUGUAGCAAUACAGGUGGCGCACGGCGCACGGGUGCGUAACACGUGGGGUAAUCUGCCCUUUGAUGGGGAAUAACUCGCCGAAAGGCGAGCUAAUUCCGCAUAAUAUUCCGGGAACUUAUGUUUCUGGACUGAAAGGCGUAAGUCGUCGGAGGAGGAGCCCGCGCACGAUUAGCUAGUUGGUAGGGUAAUGGCCUACCAAGGCUUUGAUCGUUAGCUGGUCUGAGAGGAUGGCCAGCCACACUGGAACUGAGACACGGUCCAGACUCCUACGGGAGGCAGCAGUGGGGAAUCUUGCACAAUGGGCGAAAGCCUGAUGCAGCGACGCCGCGUGGGGGAUGAAGCUUCUCGGAGUGUAAACCCCUUUCGAUCCGGACGAAACCCCGCAAGGGAUUGACGGUACGGAUAUAAGAAGCCCCGGCUAACUACGUGCCAGCAGCCGCGGUAAUACGUAGGGGGCCAGCGUUGUUCGGAAUUACUGGGUGUAAAGGGUUCGUAGGCGGUGUGGCAAGUUGGGAGUGAAAUCUCUGGGCUCAACCCAGAGACGGCUUCCAAAACUGCCGUGCUUGAGUGUGGGAGAGGCUCGUGGAAUUGCAGGUGUAGCGGAAAUGCGUAGAUAUCUGCAGGAACACCCGUGGCGAAAGCGGCGAGCUGGACCACUACUGACGCUGAAGAACGAAAGCUAGGGGAGCAAACAGGAUUAGAUACCCUAGUAGUCC
rnacentral:rRNA from 1 species